UUCGAAGGGGGAUACUCUCGGGAAACUGAGGCUAAUCCCGCAUACUCCUGGAUGUCUGGAAUGACACCAGGGCGAAACGCUCCGGCGCCGAAGGAUGUGGCUGCGGCCGAUUAGGUAGACGGUGGGGUAACGGCCCACCGUGCCGAUAAUCGGUACGGGUUGUGAGAGCAAGAACCCGGAGACGGAAUCUGAGACAAGAUUCCGGGCCCUACGGGGCGCAGCAGGCGCGAAACCUUUACACUGCACGCCAGUGCGAUAAGGGGACCCCGAGUGCGAGGGCAUAUCGUCCUCGCUUUUCUGUACCGUAGGGAGGUACACGAAUAAGGGCUGGGCAAGACCGGUGCCAGCCGCCGCGGUAAUACCGGCAGCCCGAGUGAUGGCCGAUAUUAUUGGGCCUAAAGCGUCCGUAGCCGGCCGAGCAAGUCCGUCGGGAAAUCCACGCGCUCAACGCGUGGGCGUCCGGCGGAACCUGCUCGGCUUGGGACCGGAAGACCCAGCGGGUACGUCCGGGGUAGGAGUGAAAUCCUGUAAUCCCGGACGGACCGCCGAUGGCGAAAGCACGCUGGGAAGACGGAUCCGACGGUGAGGGACGAAAGCUAGGGUCUCGAACCGGAUUAGAUACCCGGGUAGUCCUAGCCGUAAACGAUGCUCGCUAGGUGUGGCUCCCGCUACGAGCGGGUGCUGUGCCGUAGGGAAGCCGCUAAGCGAGCCGCCUGGGAAGUACUGCCGCAAGGAUGAAAUUCAA
rnacentral:rRNA from 1 species